rnacentral:other from 1 species
GAGGUCCUGGGGUGUGCGUACAGCACUAUUCGUUUUAAAGCCAACACUUUUUGAUAGGGAGCCUGAACGUUUCAACUGGAAGUAAACGCCCUUACAGGGACUUACGGAAGGCUGAACAGGGCACCCACCUGCCAUUGCAGGCUUCAAAACUAGGUGAUAUUUACGGCACAACGGGGCUUCU